AGUGAACGCUGGCGGUAGGCCUAACACAUGCAAGUCGAACGGCAGCACAGUAAGAGUUUGCUCUUACGGGUGGCGAGUGGCGGACGGGUGAGGAAUACAUCGGAAUCUACUUUUUCGUGGGGGAUAACGUAGGGAAACUUACGCUAAUACCGCAUACGACCUACGGGUGAAAGCAGGGGCUCUUCGGACCUUGCGCGAUUGAAUGAGCCGAUUUCGGAUUAGCUAGUUGGCGGGGUAAAGGCCCACCAAGGCGACGAUCCGUAGCUGAUCUGAGAGGAUGAUCGGCCACACUGGAACUGAGAAACGGUCCAGACUCCUACGGGAGGCAGCAGUGGGGAAUAUUGCGCAAUGGGCGAAAGCCGGACGGAGCAAUGCCGCGUGAGUGAAGAAGGCCUUCGGGUUGUAAAACCCUUUUAUUGGGGAAGAAGAGAGGAGUGUGAAACCCUGCGUGUAUUGACGGUACCCAAAGAAAAAGCCCCGGCUAACUACGUG
rnacentral:rRNA from 1 species